UACCAGCACCCCGAGUGGUCGGGACGUUUAUUGGGCCUAAAGCAUCCGUAGCCGGUUCUGCAAGUCUUCCGUUAAAUCCACCUGCUUAACAGAUGGGCCGCGGAAGAUACUAUAGAGCCAGGAGGCGGGAGAGGCAAGCGGUACUCGAUGGGUAGGGGUAAAGUCCGUUGAUCCAUUGAAGACCACCAGUGGCGAAGGCGGCUUGCCAGAACGCGCUCGACGGUGAGGGAUGAAAGCUGGGGGAGCAAACCGG
rnacentral:rRNA from 1 species